rnacentral:rRNA from 1 species
AUUGAACGCUGGCGGAAUGCUUUACACAUGCAAGUCGAACGGCAGCACGGACUUCGGUCUGGUGGCGAGUGGCGAACGGGUGAGUAAUGUAUCGGAACGUGCCCAGUCGUGGGGGAUAACGUAGUGAAAAUUACGCUAAUACCGCAUACGAUCUAUGGAUGAAAGCGGGGGAUCGCAAGACCUCGCGCGAUUGGAGCGGCCGAUAUCAGAUUAGGUAGUUGGUGGGGUAAAGGCCCACCAAGCCAACGAUCUGUAGCUGGUCUGAGAGGACGACCAGCCACACUGGAACUGAGACACGGUCCAGACUCCUACGGUAGGCGGCAGUGGGGAAUUUUGGACAAUGGGCGAAAGCCUUAUCCAGCCAUUCCGCGUGCAGGAUGAAGGCCCUCGGGUUGUAAACUGCUUUUGUACAGAACGAAAAGGUUUCUACUAAUACUAGGAGCUCAUGACGGUACUGUAAGAAUAAGCACCGGCUAACUACGUGCCAGCCGCCGCAGUAA